GUAUGCUCUCCACUUUCUGGAUGACCAAGUUUUGAAAUCAGUGGAAUUCGAGUAUGAUAGCUAAGGAGAUGGAGAAAACACCAGUCUGGAAUACAUCGUCAAACUAAGGCAUGGCAUCAGACAGGAGACGCGUCCAACCAUGAUGUAUACUGAUGUCUGGAAGUAACUGGCAAGUUAGUACAGAACGGUUGGAUCAACCCUUAAAGAGAUGGGUGGGGCUAAGACUUAAGAGGGUGUGAACAAUGCUGAAUGGGUGUAGACAAAGCAGGGCUCUCCAACAGUGGUACCAAAACAUGGAAAGACGGUUUUCUCAAAAGUUCCCUCGGAGAGUUCAUCAAUGAGCUUGAUGCCUUGAUAAGCUCC